UUACUCAGGCUUCUCUUCAUUUUUCGCAUAAAUUUUUCGCCUUUUACUGAAGAUUUCCGUGGAGAGAAGCAUACAAUGAGUCUUUGCGCGAUUUUUAAAGCCCAUCAUGUACUGGUU